UUGGGUUAGGGAGUGGAUAUUCAAACAAAAAUGGGAAACAAGUGGUUUUUGGUUCAGAGUCGAUGAUACCUACUAUGUUGGUUUCUUUUGUUUUUUCGCUCGGUUUUCUCUUUUUUUUUUCUAUUUUUCGACCGAGUGCCCUUUUUCGUGCUUCUUUUGAAUCUUCGAGUUUAUUUAUAAUAAUUCUUUUUCCUUUUCUCUCGAUGAUUU
rnacentral:lncRNA from 1 species